rnacentral:rRNA from 1 species
GACGAACGCUGGCGGCGUGCUUAACACAUGCAAGUCGAACGAAGUGGCGAAAGGGUGAGUAAUACGUGAGUAACCUGCCCUCCUUUUUGGUAUAAGCCUUUGACACGGGGUCUAAUACCGACUAUAGGGUGAUGUGCUCGCGGCCUAUCAGCUUGUUGGUGGGGUGAUGGCCUACCAAGGCGGUGACGAGUAGCGUGCAUGAGAGGGUGACCGGCGACAGUGGGACGGGUAUUCGGCCCAGACUCCGACGGGAGGCAGCAGUGGCGGAUAUUGCACAAGUGGCGAAAGACUGAUGCAGCGACUCCGAGUGGGGUAUGCGGAUUUUCGGGUUGUAAACCUCUUUCGCUAGCGAACGGGUAGGUGGAGAAGAAGCGCCGGCUAACUACGUGCCAGCAGCCGCGGUAAUAC